AUAACUAAGCGGAGGAAAAGAAACCAAACGGGAUUCCCCUAGUAACGGCGAGUGAACAGGGAACAGCUCAGCGCCAAGUCCUGACACUUGACGUGUUCAGGAGAUGCGGCGUUAGUGUAUUGAUGCAUCGUGCACUGUCUCGUAUCUCAAGUUCCUUUGACAGGGACUCCCAGAGUGGGUGCUAGGCCCAUAGAGAUUGCAGGACUGGUGCACGCAAAUCAUUGCAUGUUAGAGUCAGGUUGCUUGAGAGUGCAGCCUAAAGCAGGUGGUAAACUCCAUCUAAGGCUAAAUAUUACAGCGAGACCGAUAGCAAACAAGUACCGUGAGGGAAAGUUGCAAAGAACUUUGAAGAGAGAGUUCAAAAGGACGUGAAACCACUGACAGGCAAACGGGUGGAACCACGAAGUGUGCCUGAAAGGCGAUUCAGUUUUCACCGUUUUGGUUGGCUGCGCGUGUGCGUGAGGUCCGUUUCUUCUGACCUGAACAGGCGCAGUGUGUACAAUCGGCGGUGGUGAUGCAUUUCGUCCUUUCAGUGCUAAAGCCACGUCCGAUUAGAUGGCUGGAACGGCCGUAGUGAGUGACCUGUGGAAGGUGGCCGUCAGGUGCUUGCGUUUGGCGGUGUUAUAGCCACGGGUCCGUGCCGUUGCCUAGCGUACUGAUCGGUAUAAGUUCUCCUUUUGGAGUUUUUUAUAGGGUUAGUGCACCUGUAGUUGCCUGGUUGUUGCGUCAGUCUGACCUUUCGCAUCUUCGGGCGCGUAAAGACAGAUUGACGUCGGUGGCCAGUGUGCUGCAGUGUGUGGCUAACUUGUGUGCAAACGGUGGUGCGAGUAGGUCGGUCUCCACCCGACCCGUCUUGAAACACGGACCAAGGAGCCUAACAUAUACGCGAGUCGCUCGGUCUUGUUUAGGCCUGAGAGGCGCAAUGAAAGUAACUGGCUAUGAGGCUGGAAGCGCGUGCGCAUCGUGUGGUGUGCUGCAACCAGUCGCAAUAGCGGCCCGCCUAUUCUCUUUAUCGGGGGUAUGGCGGAGUCGGAGCGUAUACGUUGGUACCCGAAAGAUGGUGAACUAUGCCUGGGCAAGACGAAGCCAGAGGAAACUCUGGUGGAGGUCUGUAGCGAUUCUGACGUGCAAAUCGAUCGUCAGACCUGGGUAUAGGGGCGAAAGACUAAUCGAACCAUCUAGUAGCUGGUUCCCUCCGAAGUUUCCCUCAGGAUAGCAGGCGCUUGUUGAACUCAGUCUCAUCCGGUAAAGCUAAUGAUUAGAGGUCUUGGGGCCGAAACGGCCUCAACCUAUUCUCAAACUUUAAAUGGGUGAGAUGCUUGACUUGCUUAACCCCCUUGUGUGAAGCCAAGCAAUUGGAUGUAAGUGCCUAGUGGGCCAGCUUUGGUAAGCAGAACUGGCGCUGUGGGAUGAACCAAACGUCGAGUUAAGGCAUCAAAUGCGUACGCUCAUCAGACCCCAUGAAAGGUGUUGGUUGCUAUAGACAGCAGGACGGUGGCCAUGGAAGUCGGAAUCCGCUAAGGAGUGUGUAACAACUCACCUGCCGAAGCAACUAGCCCUGAAAAUGGACGAUGCUGUAGCGUGGAGCCGAUACUCGACCGUUAUGACGAUCCUUUAGAAUGCGAUGUCGUAACGAGUAGGAGGGCCGCAGUGGUAGCGUUGAAGGUGUCGGACGUGAGUCCGCCUGGAGCUGCCACUGAUGCAGAUCUUGGUAGUAGUAGCAAAUACUCAAGUGAGAAUCUUGAGGACUAACGUGGAGAAAGGUUCCAUGUGAACAGCAGUUGAACAUGGGUCAGUCGGUCCUAAGGAAUCGGAGAAAUCCGUUACAACGGCCACAAUUUUAUUUCGCGCGCACACGUGUGCUGCACGCACGCGCGCACACACACAAAAACGCGCGCGCGCGCGCAUCACAACWGGUGUGUACAACUGUGUGUGUGCUCGUGUUGUGUUGUGUUGUGUUGUGUUGUGUUGUUKKUGUGCGCUGUGUGCUGUGUGCUGUGUUGGUGUUUUGUUGUGAUGUGAUGUGAUGUGUUGUGAUACUGUGGACGAUUUUCCGAAAGGGCAUCGGGUUAAUAUUCCCGAACUCAGACACAGAGGGUGUGCAUCCCUGGAUGCGAAUGCGGUAACGCAGUCAAACUCGGAGACGUCGGCGGCAGCCCUAGGAAGAGUUGUCUUUUCUCUAUAAGGGGUCGACUCCAUGAAAACAGCUUGCCUGGAGAUAUGGAUGUUGACACCGAAGAGCCCCGCGGUUCUUGCGGGGUCUGGUGCGCUGCUGUCGGCCCUUGAAAAUCCGAGGGCGAGUGCUAACCUUUGUCCUGAGCCGUACUCAUAUCCGCAGCAGGUCUCCAAGGUUAACAGCCUCUAGUUUUUAGAAUAAUGUAGGUAAGGGAAGUCGGCAAAACCGAUCCGUAACUUCGGGAUAAGGAUUGGCUCUGAAGGAUGGGUCGGUCGGGCUGUGGCCAGAAGCGAGUGUUGCGCCUGACUGGGACUGGACUCCUGC
rnacentral:rRNA from 1 species